UACGCCUUGACUUGCUGUUGGCGUGAAAUGCUGUUUUCAAUAUUUUUAUGAAAAAAAUUUCGUAUAGUGGCGCCUAUUAAACUUUGUGGCAAAAGAGAAGAAGCUACUAUCCCCACUACUGAUUUUCAUACGAAACUAAGGUGGCGUGUGGUUUGUUUCCGUGAAAUAGACAAUUGCUUCCUUUUGUCUGCUGCGUAAACCGAUACUCAGAUUUUCUGAUUCAUUUCAAAUGCAAGGAAACGCGUUUCAUCAUGUUCACAAAAAGAAGCCAUGGUAACAUUCUGGUAUUUUAAUAUUUUCGAUGAAUGAUUCUAUGGUAAAAAUGAGCAAUUUAAAUACUACAUUUUCUAUUGUAUUCGUGCUCGUCAUCAUAUCUACGUAUUUCAACAUUCAUCAGUAAUUUUCUUUCGACUGUUGUUGUUGUUAGUUUUUAUAUAUAUAUGUUAUAUUGUAUGUUAUAUAUCUCAUCGUAAGUAUUAUCGAGCUAAUGGCUGCUUAAAUAGGUUUUUGUAUUUAUAAUAAGUUAAAUAGUAUAAGUUUAACUAGAACUAAAAAAAUAUAACAUUUGUACAAUUAACAAACACUUUUCAAUUAAUCUAUUUUCAGAGAAGUAUUAUCUGUCGUAUGGUUUUUUCUUACUUUUAUCAGAUAAGUACUAUUUUUAAUAUAUAUAAAAAUUUCUACCAUACACUAACUCGAUUUUAGGUUAUACGUGAGGGAGGUAUAACCUAACAAGUUUAUAUACCGAUGUAAUAGGCUUGUAGUGGGGACAGUGUUUCUCUAUUGUGUUUGUAGUUCAUAUUUUGUCCAUACUUGUCGCUGAAAUCGUAUAUGCUACGGCAAUAGAUGUUAAACAACCUUAAUCUUUUACGAUCUGUAUUCUAUGAAGUGUAUUUUAUUUUUAAAAAUCGGUAACUAUCCAAAAACUAUAAA